rnacentral:rRNA from 1 species
GUCUACAGCCAUGCCACCCUGAACACGCCCGAUCCCAUCUGAUCUUAGAAGCUAAGCAGGGUUGGGCCUGAUUAGUACUUGGAUGGGAGACCACCUAGGAAGACCAGGUGCUGUAGGUA